rnacentral:rRNA from 1 species
AUUGAACGCUGGCGGCAUGCUUUACACAUGCAAGUCGAACGGUAACAGGCCGCAAGGUGCUGACGAGUGGCGAACGGGUGAGUAAUGCAUCGGAACGUGCCCAGUCGUGGGGGUUAAUUCCUGAAAAGGUAGGCUAAAACCCCAUACGACCUCGGGAUAAAAACGGGGGACCGAAGGGCCUCGGCGGAUUGUGCGGGCCGAUGUCAGAUUAGGUAGUUGGGGGGGUAAAGGCUCACCAAGCCAACGAUCGGUAGCGGGUCUGAGAGGACGACCAGCCACACUGGGACUGAGACACGGCCCAGACUCCUACGGGAGGCAGCAGUGGGGAAUUUUGGACAAUGGGCGCAAGCCUGAUCCAGCAAUGCCGCGUGCAGGAAGAAGGCCUUCGGGUUGUAAACUGCUUUUGUACGGAACGAAACGGCUCUGGUUAAUACCCGGGGCUAAUGACGGUACCGAAAGAAUAAGCACCGGCUAACUACGUG